UACAGAGGUCUCAAGCGUUGUUCGGAUUCAUUGGGCGUAAAGGGCGCGUAGGCGGCGGGGUAGUCGGGGGUGAAAUCUCAGAGCUCAACUCUGAAACUGCACUCGAUACUGCUCUGCUUGAGGACUGGAGAGGAGACUGGAAUUCACGGUGUAGCAGUGAAAUGCGUAGAUAUCGUGAGGAAGACCAGUGGCGAAGGCGGGUCUCUGGACAGUUCCUGACGCUGAGGCGCGAAGGCCAGGGGAGCAAACGGG
rnacentral:rRNA from 1 species